GGUUGAUCCUGCCAGUAGCCAUAUGCUUGUCUAGAAGAUUAAGCCAUGCAUGUGUAAGUAUUAAUAGAUUUUAAUAGUGAAACUGCGAAUGGCUCAAUAAAACAGUUAUAGUUUAUUCGAUGAUGUUUUGUUAUUUGGAUAACCGUAGUAAUUCUAGGGCUAAUACAUGAACUAAAGAGGAGCAACUUAGAAGUGUUUCUCUGUAUUUAUUAGACUGAAAACUGGUACAGUAGCAAUACUGGCCCCUGGUUGAACCAUAAUAACUCUUACGAAUCGUAUGGCCUUGUGCCGA
rnacentral:rRNA from 1 species